rnacentral:rRNA from 1 species
UACGUAGGGUGCAAGCGUUAAUCGGAAUUACUGGGCGUAAAGCGUGCGCAGGCGGUUAUGCAAGACAGAGGUGAAAUCCCCGGGCUCAACCUGGGAACUGCCUUUGUGACUGCAUAGCUAGAGUACGGUAGAGGGGGAUGGAAUUCCGCGUGUAGCAGUGAAAUGCGUAGAUAUGCGGAGGAACACCGAUGGCGAAGGCGGUUGCCUGGGGCUUUGCUGACGCUGAUGCGCGAAAGCGUGGGGAGCGAUCCGG